UAUUUUUUUAUUUGUUAAGGAUCAUGAACAUUUGCAGUCACUGUUUCUGAUGGGUGUUCAUUGUCAACAAGCGAAUAGAUUUCUGCAUCUCUCCGAAAUAGUCUUCGAUGUUUUUGAUGAUGAGGGAGUGUUCUUUGCGACAGCCAUUUCCUUUGAUGACUUAACUGUGUGGGCCGCACGGUCUCGGGUCUGUCCCUUCACGCUCCAUGACAACCCUUUACCCCCAAACUGUGAAUCACCCAAAUGUCUGCCAGCUGGUGAGGGAUAAAUAACCGUGGUACAUUUAAGCAACGGAAUACUACUCAGCAAUGAAAAAGAACAAGCGACAGAAGCGUUGAGAAAACAUAGAUAAGGCCUGAAGUGUGACGCUGAAGGAAGCCAGACACAAGGGGACACGUUGAUGAUUCCGCUGAUAUUCAGUUUCUAGACUGCAUUUUAAAUUGAUAGAUUUUCAGCUUCUCAGUGGGACACACUAAGUUACGAAGUACCUGGUUACCUUAAUUCUUUCUCAACUGCUCUUUGAUUUUCUUUUUAUUUUCUAUAUAAACUUGCUCUUUUCCUUUUAGAGCUUUUUCUAAAAGGAACUCUUAACUUCCAUUUAAAAGCUCUGUGAUCAGCAGUAGAAGAAAUAAAUGAUCCGUUCACCAGCCAUUCUAAUCAGGGGUAGCGUUAAAAGCUUUUUCACCUUGCUAUUUUGAAGACGUUUACUUCUUUAAACAAAUGAUUCCAAUUAAUAAAU
ensembl:lncRNA novel transcript